rnacentral:rRNA from 1 species
GACAGAGGGGGCAAGCGUUGCUCGGAAUCACUGGGCGUAAAGGGCGCGUAGGCGGGUUGGCAAGUCAGUCGUGAAAUCUCUCGGCUCAACCGAGAAACGUCGGCUGAUACUGCCGUUCUUGAGGGAUGCAGAGGAGACUGGAAUUCCCGGUGUAGCGGUGAAAUGUGUAGAGAUCGGGAGGAACACCGGUGGCGAAGGCGGGUCUCUGGGCAUUUCCUGACGCUGAGGCGCGAAAGCGUGGGGAGCAAACGGG